GAAUUGACGGGGGCCCGCACAAGCAGUGGAGUAUGUGGUUUAAUUCGAAGCAACGCGAAGAACCUUACCAGGUCUUGACAUCCAACUAACGAAGCAGAGAUGCAUCAGGUGCCCUUCGGGGAAAGUUGAGACAGGUGGUGCAUGGUUGUCGUCAGCUCGUGUCGUGAGAUGUUGGGUUAAGUCCCGCAACGAGCGCAACCCUUGUCAUUAGUUGCUACGCAAGAGCACUCUAAUGAGACUGCCGUUGACAAAACGGAGGAAGGUGGGGACGACGUCAAAUCAUCAUGCCCCUUAUGACCUGGGCUACACACGUACUACAAUGGCCGUUAACAGAGGGAAGCAAUACCGCGAGGUGGAGCAAACCCCCAAAAACGGUCUCAGUUCAGAUUGCAGGCUGCAACCCGCCUGUAUGAAGUCGGAAUUGCUAGUAAUCGCGGAUCAGCAUGCCGCGGUGAAUACGUUCCCGGGCCUUGUACACACCGCCCGUCACACCAUGGGAGCCGGUAAUACCCGAAGUCAGUAGCCCAACCGCAAGGAAGGCGCUGCCGAAGGUAGGAUUGGCGACUGGGGUGAAGUCGUAACAAGGUAGCCGUAUCGGAAGGUGCGGCUGG
rnacentral:rRNA from 1 species